GACAGAGGGUGCAAACGUUGUUCGGAAUUACUGGGCGUAAAGCGCGUGUAGGCGGCUACGUAGGUCGGGCGUGAAAUCCCACGGCUCAACCAUGGAAGUGCAUUCGAAACUGCAGAGCUAGAGUCCUGGAGAGGAAGGUGGAAUGCUUGGUGUAGAGGUGAAAUUCGUAGAUAUCAAGCGGAACACCGGUGGCGAAGGCGGCCUUCUGGACAGUGACUGACGCUGAGACGCGAAAGCGUGGGGAGCAAACAGG
rnacentral:rRNA from 1 species